AACUGUAUGUUGUAUUGAAAUUAAAUUGUAUUUUGAACACACUCAUCUAAACAAAAAUUCACAAAUGACUUUUACAAUUUAAACAAAUCAAACGGAUUUUUAUAAUACUUUUAAAGUUACCUGGAGAGUUACCAUCGUAUUGGUAUUUUUAGCUUAUCUUAAACUUUAUCUUAUUUUAUUAUAACACGAAAAUCAAAUUAUAUAACUGCACAUUUCACGGAAUUUACGAUGGACAUGCGCUAAGUAAUAAAUAAUAAUAUUAAUAACUUCAUAAUAUUUUUUCUAUUUAUGCAUUAUAUUUUAGAAAAAUGCUAAAAUAUGCAUAAUGAUUUGAAAUUUUCCAAAUAUGCAAAAAUAGGCCAAAUUUAAUUUCGCAUACCAACACGUUAGGUUACGAUUCAAAUUUCUGCCUUACUACUUUUUAUUUUAAUAUAUAAAAAUAUGCAAAUGCAUACAAUUCCUGGCCCUAAUCAUGUAUAUAGUUAUAAAUAUCAACUUGAUAACAAAAUCGUUUAGAUUAUUAUUGUUCUAUUUUUAGUAAUGAGUUUAUUAACAUUAUUUGUUCAUGUUAUUGAUAACUUGUGCCAAAAUUACGAUGGUGGACAUUGUGUCGUUCAGUCGUUGAUUAUAAAUUGUAAUGCAGUCUCAGUAAUUAUUUUAUUAUUUUUAUUCGUAGUUUUAAAUAAUUUAUAUUUACGAUUAUCAACUAAGACAAGAAAAUUUGAAAGUUUUUCUUUAAAGAGAAAACGGAAAGAUUAGGAAGCUUCUAUAAAUACAAUAUUAUUAUUCAACCAGUCCAGACGUUUAUGAGCCCAAACAUUAAAAAUAAUAAGACAGAACAACGAACACUUUAAAGCUUCAAAAUGUGGUGUUGGUGAAGGAUGCUGACAGUGUAUUGAUUAGAAAACCGUACCAACGAAAACAUACUCAGUGAAAUAGAUAAACGAAGAGAGAUACUCAAAGACAUCAGAACAAGACGAUGGAACAUGAUGGGUCAUAUAUUGAGACACGAAAAUGAACUAACUCAUAGAAUAAUAGAAGAGAUAAUUGAAGGGAAAAGGGACCGAGGACGCCCGAGAACUUCAUAUAUUAAACAAAUGAUCUCAGAGGCAGGACUAAUAUGUAACACCGAACUGAAAAAGCUAGCUGAGAACAGAGAAAAGUGGAGAGCGAAUAUCUAAUUGCAAAACCAACCUGAAGGGUUGAAUACCAAAAAAAAAAA